CCUGCAAGAAAGAAUUGCAGUAUUGUCGGAAGAUAUACGUUUUUCCAACAAUAGGGAAACAGGUGCAAAUCCUGUGCAAUGCCGUUGCUGUAAGAGUGGAGCAUAUUUCAAUAAGCCACUGGGAAACCGGGAAGGCGAAAGUAUGCGGAGAAGCUCAAGCCAGAAUACCGGUUCUAACUGUUAUUUUCAU
rnacentral:ncRNA from 2 species